rnacentral:rRNA from 1 species
UGGGGGAUAUUGCACAAUGGGCGAAAGCCUGAUGCAGCGACGCCGCGUGGGGGAUGAAGGCCUUCGGGUUGUAAACUUCUUUUGCUCUGAACAAGGCAUGCCUUUGGGGUGUGUUGAGUGUAGGGGUUGAUUAGCGCCGGCUAACUACGUGCCAGCAGCCGCGGUAAUACGUAGGGCGCGAGCGUUGUCCGGAAUUAUUGGGCGUAUAGGGCUUGUAGGUGGCUGGUUGCGUCUGUCGUGAAAGCUCAUGGCUUAACUGUGGGUUUGCGGUGGGUACGGGCUGGCUUGAGUGCAGUAGGGGAGGCUGGAAUUCCUGGUGUGGCGGUGGAAUGCGCAGAUAUCAGGAGGAAUACCGGUGGCGAAGGCGGGUCUCUGGGCUGUUACUGACGCUGAGGAGCGAAAGCGUGGGGAGCGAACAGG